GGACAGAAAGACCCUAUGAAGCUUUACUGUAGCCUGGAAUUGAAUUUGGGUUUAAUUUGCGCAGUAUAGGUGGGAGGCAAAGAGUAUAUGUUCGUGGAUGUAUAUGAGCCAUUAGUGAGAUACCACUCUGAUUAAACUAGAAUUCUAAUAUUGAUUGCCAUAAGCUGGCCAAUAGACAGUUUCAGGUGGGCAGUUUGACUGGGGCGGUCGCCUCCUAAAAGGUAACGGAGGCGUGCAAAGGUUUCCUCAGGCUGGUCGGAAAUCAGUCGUAGAGUAUAAAGGCAUAAGGAAGCUUGACUGCGAGACCUACAAGUCGAGCAGAGACGAAAGUCGGCCUUAGUGAUCCGACAGUGCUGAGUGGAAAGGCUGUCGCUCAACGGAUAAAAGUUACCUCUAGGGAUAACAGGCUGA
rnacentral:rRNA from 2 species